rnacentral:rRNA from 1 species
AUUGAACGCUGGCGGCAGGCCUAACACAUGCAAGUCGAACGAGUGGCGGACGGGUGAGUAAUGUCUGGGAAACUGCCUGAUGGAGGGGGAUAACUACUGGAAACGGUAGCUAAUACCGCAUACCAUCGGAUGUGCCCAGAUGGGAUUAGCUAGGAGGUGGGGUAAAGGCUCACCUAGGCGACGAUCCCUAGCUGGUCUGAGAGGAUGACGAGCUAAACUGGAACGUGGACACGGUCCAGACUGCUACGGGAGGCAGCAGGGGGGAAUAUUGCAAAAUGGGGGCAAGCCUGAUGCAGCAAUGCCGGGGGUAUGAAGAAGGCCUUCGGGUUGUAAAGUACUUUCAGCGGGGAGGCGUUACCCGCAGAAGAAGCACAGGCUAACUCCGGGCCAGCAGCCGCGGUAAUAC